rnacentral:misc_RNA from 1 species
AUUGGAUUUAGUUUUACUAAUUAAUACUUUUUUUUAAUUUAUAACUAUAUUAAAUACAACUCUGUAAAUAAAGCUCCGAUUUGUUUUCUAAGUUUCAUUUUUAUCAAUUAUCGGCUGAAUAAACUUUACCAGAUCAGCAAUCAUUGUGACUAAUGCUGUCACUGUACGCGAAAUACCUCCUUUUAUUGACUUUGAGCAGUUUUGCGACACAAAUUCAGUAGCUGAAAAGACUGAGUUAGAGCUUUAUCUUGAGGAAAAGCGUUUCAAAUGUGAACCGUCAAUCCACUUUACUUUUGAUGUACUAGAAUGUUGGAAGGUGCAUAGCAUUAAUAAACCAAUUCUCUCAAUAUUGGCGCGAGAAAUACUUACAAUUCCAUCAACAUCAGUUGCUUCAGAAUCUGCAUUUAGCGCAGGAGGUCGAGUGCUUGAUUCAUUUAGAAGUUCAUUAUCACCUGAAACAGUGGAAGCUUUGGUUUUUUGUGCAAGUUGGUUGAAAGAUGAUAGUCAAGAGAAAAAGGUUGAUCUUGAAUGUUGAAAUUUGAAUGUUGUUAUUCCAACGGUUUUUUAAUUCUACUAUAUGAAAAGAUUCAUUUUCAUGCAAGUUUGUUGUAAAAUUUCCGAUUUUCAGCUCAUUUUUGAGGUUCUACUUCAAGAGAAUUAGAGGAAGGCUUUUUAUUUUGUUUCAUCCAAUGCAAUGAGAGCAAGACUUAUAUUUGUGAAAAUGUAAUUUGAACUAUUAGAGUGCAGUGUUUAAUAGGAAUUAUUAUGUUUGUGAGAGUUUAUAUUAUGUUUGAACUUUGAACAUUAAAUUUGAGCAUUGAACUAUUA